rnacentral:rRNA from 1 species
GGGGAAUAUUGCGCAAUGGGGGAAACCCUGACGCAGCGACGCCGUGUGAGGGAAGAAGGCUUUCGGGUCGUAAACCUCUGUCGGGAGGGAAGAACCUUCCAGGUCUGAAUAAGCCCUGGAACUGACGGUACCUCCAAAGGAAGCACCGGCUAACUCCGUGCCAGCAGCCGCGGUAAUACGGAGGGUGCAAGCGUUAAUCGGAAUCACUGGGCGUAAAGCGCGCGUAGGCCGCCUUUUAAGUCGGACGUGAAAGCCCUCGGCUCAACCGAGGAACUGCGUUCGAAACUGGGAGGCUUGAGUCCUGGAGAGGGUGGCGGAAUUCCGGGUGUAGGAGUGAAAUCCGUAGAUAUCCGGAGGAACACCGGUGGCGAAGGCGGCCACCUGGACAGGUACUGACGCUGAGGCGCGAAAGCGUGGGGAGCAAAC